CCCCCCUACACCCUAGGUUGAAUCCCCUCUACACCCUAGGUUGAAUCCCCUCUACACCCUAGGUUGAAUCCCCUCUACACCCUAGGUUGAAUCCCCUCUACACCCUAGGUUGAAUCCCCUCUACACCCUAGGUUGAAUCCCCUCUACACCCUAGGUUGAAUCCUAACCCCCUACACUCUAGGUUGAAACCCUAACCCCCUACACUCUAGGUUGAAUCCUAACCCCCUACACUCUAGGUUGAAACCCUAACCCCCUACACUCUAGGUUGAAACCCUAACCCCCUACACUCUAGGUUGAAUCCUAACCCCCUACACUCUAGGUUGAAACCCUAACCCCCUACACUCUAGGUUGAAUCCUAACCCCCUACACUCUAGGUUGAAUCCCCUCUACACUCUAGGUUGAAACCCUAACCCCCUACACUCUAGGUUGAAUCCCCUCUACACCCUAGUUUUGGAGUGGGGACUAGGGAUUGGUUUGGAAUUUGAAAACUGUCUGUCGAUCAUUAAUGUACUGCAACUCUCCCCAACUUCUCCCCUCAGACACCCAGGGCCUGUAUCUGUUUCAGAUCAAAGCUGCCCCAUAGCAGAGCACAGAUCUGGGAUCAGUUUACCCCUAACUUCUCCUCUCUGUCCCAGGGCCUGUAUCUGUUUCAGAUCAAAGCUGCCCCAUAGCAGAGCACAGAUCUGGGAUCAGCUUACCCCUAACUUCUCCUCUCUGUCCCAGGGCCUGUAUCUGUUUCAGAUCAAAGCUGCCCCAUAGCAGAGCACAGAUCUGGGAUCAGUUUACCCCUAACCCUGUGUU
rnacentral:lncRNA from 1 species